rnacentral:rRNA from 1 species
GACGAACGCUGGCGGCAUGCCUAACACAUGCAAGUCGAACGGAGAUAGACGCUGAUGAAGCUUCGGCGGAAUCUUGUCUAUCUUAGUGGCGGACGGGCGAGUAACGCGUGAGCAACCUGCCCUUCAGUGGGGGACAACAGUUGGAAACGACUGCUAAUACCGCAUAAUGUCACGAGGCCGCAUGACCUUGUGACCAAAGGAUUUAUUCGCUGAAGGAUGGGCUCGCGUCCGAUUAGGUAGUUGGUGAGGUAACGGCUCACCAAGCCGACGAUCGGUAGCCGAACUGAGAGGUUGAUCGGCCGCAUUGGGACUGAGACACGGCCCAGACUCCUACGGGAGGCAGCAGUGGGGAUAUUGCACAAUGGGGGAAACCCUGAUGCAGCAACGCCGCGUGAAGGAAGAAGGUCUUCGGAUUGUAAACUUCUGUUUUUAGUGAAGAAACAAAUGACGGUAGCUAAAGAGAAGCCACGGCUAACUACGUGCCAGCAG